AUGUGCGUGUUAUGAAAAAUAUGCGCGGGUGAUAAAGUUUAUAAGUGGUAUUUUUAAACUGCAUUAUGCAUAAAAUAAAUUCGAUGUGUAACGACAUUCGCACCAUCGCGCGAUUUUCAACCGAUCUUCAGGAUCUCCAGGCGAAACAAACAACAGUAGAAUAAUCUCCGGCAAAAUCAAUUCCCAUUAUAAAAGAUUAAAUUGUGGAUCGCACCAAUGACGGGAAGACGACUAAGUUGGAGGUCAUUCGGCUGGACCAAAGCUUUCGACCGGAUAUUUAACAGCUGCUGUGUAGCAUCCGAGGAAACAUCUUGGAUGAAUUUCUACCCAUAGUCCGGAAUCAACACGGUUCCCUCAACGGUUGCACAGAGUGUAAUACUCAACGAAAGACGUGUUCAUGGGAGACGUAGAGUCUAUUUUCUUUAUAUAAAAAACGGAAGCCACAAUACGCAGUGAUGGCGAUAAAACUAGUUAUUAUACGAUCAAUAAAAUGAUAAAUUAACCCAAUAUCUUUUAGAACAUGAUUCAUUUGAUUGUUUACUUCCAAA